AGGAUUAACGCUGGCGGCGUGCAUGAAACAUGCAAGUCGAGCGCGGUGUGAUGCGGGGUAACCCAAUUCACAUCUAGCGGCGAACGGGUGAGUAACACGUGAGCAACCUACCUUUGAGUUGGGGAUAGCCCUGGGAAACCAGGAUUAAUACCCGAUGUGGUCACAACAGGACAUCCUGAUGUGAGUAAAGGCGCAAGCCGCUCAAUGACGGGCUCGCGGCCUAUUAGCUUGUUGGUGGGGUAACGGCCUACCAAGGCGAUGAUGGGUAGCUGGUCUGAGAGGACGAUCAGCCACACUGGGACUGAGACACGGCCCAGACUCCUACGGGAGGCAGCAGUUAGGAAUUUUCCGCAAUGGGCGAAAGCCUGACGGAGCAACGCCGCGUGAGUGAUGAAGACCUUAGGGUUGUAAAGCUCUGUCGGAGGGAAGAACACAAUGACGGUACCCUACCAAGAAACGCCCGGACUAACUACGUGCCAGCAGCCGCGGU
rnacentral:rRNA from 1 species